GGUGCUGUGGCUCAAGUGGUAGAGCGCUUGCCUUGCAUGCAUGAGGCCCUGGGUUUGAUUCCCCAGCACCA
rnacentral:tRNA from 1 species